rnacentral:rRNA from 1 species
GUGAAAUAGAACCUGAAACCCUGCACUUACAAGCUGUGGAAGCACAUUUCUUGUGUGACCGCGUACUUUUUGUAGAACGGGCCAACGAGUUACGUUAAGUAGCAAGGUUAAGCACUUAAGGUGUGGAGCCGUAGCGAAAGCGAGUUUUAACUGAGCGUUCAGUUACUUGACGUAGACCCGAAACCGGGCGACCUACCCAUGAGCAGGAUGAAGCGAAAGUAAAAUUUCGUGGAGGUCCGAACCCACG